GGGAAACUGCCUGAUGGAGGGGGAUAACUACUGGAAACGGUAGCUAAUACCGCAUAACGUCGCAAGACCAAAGAGGGGGACCUUCGGGCCUCUUGCCAUCGGAUGUGCCCAGAUGGGAUUAGCUUGUUGGUGGGGUAACGGCUCACCAAGGCGACGAUCCCUAGCUGGUCUGAGAGGAUGACCAGCCACACUGGAACUGAGACACGGUCCAGACUCCUACGGGAGGCAGCAGUGGGGAAUAUUGCACAAUGGGCGCAAGCCUGAUGCAGCCAUGCCGCGUGUAUGAAGAAGGCCUUCGGGUUGUAAAGUACUUUCAGCGGGGAGGAAGGGAGUAAAGUUAAUACCUUUGCUCAUUGACGUUACCCGCAGAAGAAGCACCGGCUAACUCCGUGCCAGCAGCCGCGGUAAUACGGAGGGUGCAAGCGUUAAUCGGAAUUACUGGGCGUAAAGCGCACGCAGGCGGUUUGUUAAGUCAGAUGUGAAAUCCCCGGGCUCAACCUGGGAACUGCAUCUGAUACUGGCAAGCUUGAGUCUCGUAGAGGGGGGUAGAAUUCCAGGUGUAGCGGUGAAAUGCGUAGAGAUCUGGAGGAAUACCGGUGGCGAAGGCGGCCCCCUGGACGAAGACUGACGCUCAGGUGCGAAAGCGUGGGGAGCAAACAGGAUUAGAUACCCUGGUAGUCCACGCCGUAAACGAUGUCGACUUGGAGGUUGUGCCCUUGAGGCGUGGCUUCCGGAGCUAACGCGUUAAGUCGACCGCCUGGGGAGUACGGCCGCAAGGUUAAAACUCAAAUGAAUUGACGGGGGCCCGCACAAGCGGUGGAGCAUGUGGUUUAAUUCGAUGCAACGCGAAGAACCUUACCUGGUCUUGACAUCCACGGAAGUUUUCAGAGAUGAGAAUGUGCCUUCGGGAACCGUGAGACAGGUGCUGCAUGGCUGUCGUCAGCUCGUGUUGUGAAAUGUUGGGUUAAGUCCCGCAACGAGCGCAACCCUUAUCCUUUGUUGCCAGCGGUCCGGCCGGGAACUCAAAGGAGACUGCCAGUGAUAAACUGGAGGAAGGUGGGGAUGACGUCAAGUCAUCAUGGCCCUUACGACCAGGGCUACACACGUGCUACAAUGGCGCAUACAAAGAGAAGCGACCUCGCGAGAGCAAGCGGACCUCAUAAAGUGCGUCGUAGUCCGGAUUGGAGUCUGCAACUCGACUCCAUGAAGUCGGAAUCGCUAGUAAUCGUGGAUCAGAAUGCCACGGUGAAUACGUUCCCGGGCCUUGUACACACCGCCCGUCACACCAUGGGAGUGGGUUGCAAAAGAAGUAGGUAGCUUAACCUUCGGGAGGGCGCUUACCACUUUGUGAUUCAUGACUGGGGUGAAGUCGUAACAAGGUAACCGUAGGGGAACCUGCGGUUGGAUCACCUCCUUACCUUAAAGAAGC
rnacentral:rRNA from 1 species